UACGUAGGGGGCUAGCGUUGUCCGGAAUCAUUGGGCGUAAAGCGCGUGUAGGCGGUUCGGUAAGUCCGCUGUGAAAGUCGGGGGCUCAACCCUCGAAUGCCGGUGGAUACUGUCGGACUAGAGUACGGAAGAGGCGAGUGGAAUUCCUGGUGUAGCGGUGAAAUGCGUAGAUAUCACUAGGAACGCCGGUGGCGAAAGCGGCCGACUGGACCUCUUCUGACGCUGAGGCGCGAAAGCCAGGGGAGCGAACGGG
rnacentral:rRNA from 1 species